rnacentral:rRNA from 1 species
GACAGAGGGUGCAACCGUUGUUCGGAAUUACUGGGCGUAAAGCGCGUGUAGGCGGCAGGGCAAGUCGGAUGUGAAAUCCCGUGGCUCAACCACGGAAGUGCACCCGAAACUGCCCAGCUAGAGUCUCGGAGAGGAAGGUGGAAUGCUUGGUGUAGAGGUGAAAUUCGUAGAUAUCAAGCGGAACACCGGUGGCGAAGGCGGCCUUCUGGACGAUGACUGACGCUGAGACGCGAAAGCGUGGGGAGCAAACAGG